AUUGAACGCUGGCGGCAGGACUAACACAUGCAAGUCGAACGAGUGGCGGACGGGUGAGUAAUGUCUGGGAAACUGCCUGAUGGAGGGGGAUAACUACUGGAAACGGUAGCUGAUACCGCAUACCAGCAGGUGGGCCCAGAUGGGAUGUGCUUGUUGGUGGGGGAAAGGCGCACCAAGGCGACGAGCCCGAGCUGGUUUGAGAGGAUUACAAGCCACACUGGAACUGAGACACGGUCCAGACUCCUACGGGAGGCAGCAGUGGUGAAUAUGGCACAAUGGGCGCAAGCCUGAUGCAGCCAUGCCGCGGGUAUGAAGAAGGCCUUCGGGUUGUAAAGUACUGUCAGCGGGGAGGCGUUACCCGCAGAAGAAGCACCGGCUAACUCCGUGCCAGCAGCCGCGGUAAUUC
rnacentral:rRNA from 1 species